GGGAAGCCAGUCACAGAUUGUGAGCACGCUCAAGAAGCCACACAGGCAAGUGUGUGUGGUGAUGAACUGAGGCCUCCUGCCGAUAGCCAGAUGAGCCAACUUAGAAGCAGAUCAUUCAGCCCCAGUCAAGCCUUGGACUAAUGGCAGCCCCAGCUGACAUCUUGACUACAGUCUCAUGAGUCACCUGGAGCCAGACCACCCAAUCAAGCAUCUUCUGAAUUCCUGAUCAACAAAUAUCGUGAGCUGGAUGAAACCAGAGUGACAUCAGAGACCAUGAUGGUGGAGCUUUGAGAUGGAAUCAGGCUGCUUUGAACAGGGUACCUCAUCUGUAUCCAUCUUUGAGAGGAUUGCCCUGAGGUUACACAUUUCACCUCGAGAGGCAGCCCAUGACUGACUGAUAUGGGGGUACAAAAGGCCAGCUGCUGGCUUUAAAGUGGGACCGAAGUUAUGCUGCACUUCAUCCUCCAGAACAACCCCGGGGAUCAGGCUGAGGCUUGUCUCCAGUGGGGACGACGCCCAAGUUUAGCUUCUUCCUUGCCCCAUCCUGCUCCCUCCAUUCCCCUUCUCCCAAGACUUUCCUUCAAUAAAUUGUGUGCCUUUGAAUUUCUGUUUCAGGGUCCGCUUCUAGGGAUACCUGCCUAAGUGACAUUUUGCUGAUUAAUACUUGCAUCUUAGAAAUUCUGUGGGUCCUACCUUUUUAUAUCUGUUUCUUUCAUGACUUUGGGAUCUUUCAUUCCAACAAGGGGGAUCCAAUAUGGUGAAUUUAUUAAGACUCUUUAGGAAUAAUGGAACCACUGCUCUACAGGGUAAAUUCAUAUAGAGCAGAAAGGUUUUCUCGUGUUAAGGAAGAUUUUAAUUUAUUAUCCACUGAUAAAAAUUUGUACUUUAACAAUUGAGUUAGAAAAAACCUCAAUUGUUCCUUUAUUUUUUUCCUUUUAGCCCAUCUCCUUUUCCUCUUCCUCCUUCUCUUUUUCCUCUUUCUCUCCUUCAUGUUCACUAUUACUUUUUUGCUCUGAUACUCAUCUCAAAAAUUUCAGCUCCUUGAGUCAUUACAGUAUGUAUCUCUUCUCAGAGGAGCUCUGUAUUCACUUCUUGUCCUUCAAACAACGAUCUCAAUUUCAUCCGUCUUAAGAAAGAAGCCCCUCCUCUUCCUGCUUCACUCCACCAUGCUGCUGAAAAGGCACUUGCAAUAAUACUUCAUCAAACACUUUCUAGACUGGUGGCAAAUUUUUCUUUGUGAAAUACUGGAGCAAGUCUUGGAGUAUCUCCCAGAACAGUAAGAGCUUAUAAGAUAUCCAGUGAAAUUAUAAUAGCUGGAGGCUGAGAAAAAUAAUAACUUAUUUGGUGAUUACAUCAUGUUUCUAUUUUUUCCCCUAUAGAUUACUAGAGCUACAACUUUUCCAUUUUUUUCCAGCACACUUAAUUUGAGCUAUCAAAGCUCCUUAUAGUCACCUUCUUAUUCUUUCUUUCUUUCUGUCUUUGUAAGAAAAAUAUAAGAAAAGGGGAAUUAAAUUGAAUCUUUUUAUCUCACCUUAUGAUCAAGAAUCUGUCCUACAAAUUGAACAUGAAAUAAGAUCCAAAGGUUGCUUAAAGGUAGUAGGACUAGCAGGAUUCCUAGAGUCCAAUUUUAUCCUUUGAUAUAAAUCUCAGGAGAUUUUAUUUUAUUUUAUUUUAUUUAUUUAUUUUUUUGCGGUACGCGUGCCUCUCACUGU